CCCCAUGGCCAGUCGAACGGUGAAGCAGAGCUUGCUCUGUGGAUCAGUGGCGAACGGGUGAGUAACACGUGAGCAAUCUGCCCCUGACUCUGGGAUAAGCGCUGGAAACGGCGUCUAAUACCGGAUACGAGCUGCGAAGGCAUCUUCAGCAGCUGGAAAGAAUUUCGGUCAGGGAUGAGCUCGCGGCCUAUCAGCUUGUUGGUGAGGUAACGGCUCACCAAGGCGUCGACGGGUAGCCGGCCUGAGAGGGUGACCGGCCACACUGGGACUGAGACACGGCCCAGACUCCUACGGGAGGCAGCAGUGGGGAAUAUUGCACAAUGGGCGAAAGCCUGAUGCAGCAACGCCGCGUGAGGGACGACGGCCUUCGGGUUGUAAACCUCUUUUAGCAGGAAAGAAGCGAAAGUGACGGUACCUGCAGAAAAAGCGCCGGCUAACUACGUGCCAGCAGCCGCGGUAAUACGUAGGGCGCAAGCGUUAUCCGGAAUUAUUGGGCGUAAAGAGCUCGUAGGCGGUCUGUCGCGUCUGCUGUGAUAACCCGAGGCUCAACCUCGGGCCUGCAGUGGGUACGGGCAGACUAGAGUGCGGUAGGGGAGAUUGGAAUUCCUGGUGUAGCGGUGGAAUGCGCAUAUAUCAUGAGGUACACCGAUGGAGAAGGCAGAUCUCUGGGCCGUAACUGACGCUGAUGAGCUAAAGGGUGGCGAGCAAACAGGCUUAUAUACCCUGGUAGUCCACCACCGUAAACGUUGGGAACUAGUUGUGGGGUCCAUUCUCACGGCUGCCGAGUACGCAUCUAACGA
rnacentral:rRNA from 1 species